UCUUGUAAAGAUCCUAGAUAAGCUCUUGUCCAUGUGCUUGGGUACAAACCAAACCAGCUUACUUUGUUAGAUCUGGCCAAUCCUGGGAGGCAACAACGUGGAUUUCACACAACAAAACUUGUAUCAAGAUUAUGAAACAACAAUAGAUAAUAAGAUCUUAAUAUUUAAAUAGAGGUGACAACACAUAUUGUCACGUGAAAGCAUUGAACCAAGUGUGUAUAAGUAGCUCUUAAAAACUUCAUAUCAUACUGCUGCAAUUGAGUGGAUAGAAUCUUCUCCAGGAUGAGGAUGGAUGACAUCAACAUUAAAUAUAAUUGUAGGACGGUCACUAAAAACUGAAUGUGGAUGUGGACCCUGAAGCUGAGGGUCUGGAGGAUGCUGAAGUACAUUCUGUCUGGCACCAGAAUCCUGGUGCUCUGACCUCUCUCCCUCACACAGAAGUUCAGUUAACCUCCUUUCUGCCAUGAUGAUAAAUGUGUCGAGUGAAUACAUAUAGCAAAAUUAAACUAUAAGGAUUACAAAAUGAUACAUGACAACAGUAAGACAAAGCACUAUUAGAUACAGCCAUACAGGUGAUAGCUAGCAAUAAUAUGAGAAAACACACGUAAUUUGACAGAGCUUUCAAUAAAGUCAGCAAGCUAAUUAAAUACACAAAAACUAAAUAUUCUCCCUGCACGAGUAAUCAACUCUCGUUCAUAUGUAAGACAAGCAUAAGGAGCUUGCUAUUGAGUAUACAACAACGAAAGCAAAACCCAAAAGCGAAUUAACAAGAACAAGAAAAUAAACGACAAUCACACAAAACAAAGAUUUACGUGGUUCGGAAAAUCCUACUCCACAAGCCCCACUAAUUUUAUUGAUCUCUCACAAUUUGUUGUGUUGUGAUUUUACAAUUACAUGGGAGUAUUUAUAAGAGAAGAAACUGGCUUAACCAAAAUAGGAGUCUGACUUUGAAAUACCUAACUCUAAUAGGAGUCCAAUAUUUCUAACCAAAUUAUAAUCCUAUUCUGAAUCUGACUCCACAAACCCAACAAUCUCCCACUUGGAGUCUGACCUCAUCUUCACUUCACUUCACUUGUAAAUCUAGUAAAACCCAUUACUUUAAUCAAUAACUCAAACUAGUGUGGCGCCUUCUCAUCAAUCAAUUCUGAAGGCCAGUUGAAGCUAUGCAAAGUUUCAACUUUUCACUGGUAACCACCUUAGUCAACAUAUCUGCAUGAUUCUCUGAACCAAUGAUUUUCUUCAAGGACAAAGUAUUAUUUUUCUCGAGAGAAUUCAUCUCUUCUUCCAUGGCUGAUUUUCAUUGAACUGAAUCAUCCACUUGAACUGCCUUUGAAUAACACUGAGACUCUCCAUCCUCGAUCAAUAACAUAUAAUAUGCUGAAGGUGAAAAUCUUUGUGGUGGCUUCACAAUUCUGCUAGAUCUUCUUACCUCAGCCUCUAGAAUAACUGGAACAUUAUCUGCACUCCCACUAUUUCUUGCAAGAUCUUUUUCUGUAAUAUCAUCAAGCACCGCCUUCUCUUUUUCAGGUUGUUCCUUUGUAAAUUCAGAAUCGACUGCAAGAUUAUCCUUAUAUACUGCAUUCUCAUUAAAAGUAACAUCUCUACUUCUAACAACCUUCUUCAUUUGUUCAUCCCAAAAACGAUAACCCAUAUCAUCGAGCCAUAACCAAUGAAGAUACACUUCUUCGCUUUCGAAUCAAGCUUGUCCCUGUCAGAAUCUUUAACACGCACAUAAGAAACACACCAAAAAACUCGCAAGUGUGAAAAAUUUACCUCCUUUCCCUGCCACUCUUCUUCCNUUCAGAAUCGACUGCAAGAUUAUCCUUAUAUACUGCAUUCUCAUUAAAAGUAACAUCUCUACUUCUAACAACCUUCUUCAUUUGUUCAUCCCAAAAACGAUAACCCAUAGCAUCGAGCCAUAACCAAUGAAGAUACACUUCUUCGCUUUCGAAUCAAGCUUGUCCCUGUCAGAAUCUUUAACACGCACAUAAGAAACACACCAAAAAACUCGCAAGUGUGAAAAAUUUACCUCCUUUCCCUGCCACUCUUCUUCCGGAAUCUUGAACCCCAAAGGAACUGAAGGUCCCCUAUUUAUGAGAUACGCCGCUGUGCUAACUGCAUCUGCCCAAAACAUCUUUGGCAACCCUGCAUGUAAUCUCAUACUCUUGACCCUCUCAUUCAAGGUUCUAUCUAUGCGCUCCGCAACCCCAUUCUGUUGUAGUGUCUCUGGAAUAGUUUUAGUCAUUCUAAUCCCAUAUUCUGCGCAAUAACUUUUAAACUCAUCACUACUAUACUCACCACCAUUAUCUGAAAUCAAACUCUUAACCUUGAAACCAGUUUGAUUUUCAACUCAGUCUUCCACUUCUUAAAAGUAACGAACACCUCUGAUUUAUUUUUCAUAAAAUAAACCCAUACCUUUCUAGUGGAAUCAUCAAUGAAAGUGACAUAGUAGCGAGAUCCUCCAAGUGACGCAACUAUUGCUGGACCAUAUACAUCCGUAUGAAUUAGCUCCAACUUCUCCGCCUUGGGUGUCCUCCCUGAUUUUGCAAAAGUAACCCGUUCUUGUUUUCCAAGAACACAUGGCUCGCAGAAACCAACUUCCACAUUCUUCAGCUCUGGAAUCUUCCCCUUGGAAGCUAACAUCUUCAUACCCUUUUCACUCAUAUGUCCAAGCCUUUGGUGCCAAAAAGUUAAGGAACCAAUCUCAUCUGCAAUUGAAUUUACUUCACAGCUAGAUCGUUCAACUAUAUACAACGUCCCUUUUUCCUCACCGCGAGCAACAACAAAAUUCCCCUUUAUAACCUUCCAUUGUCCAUCUCCGAAAGUAACUCGAUACCCCUCCUUGUCUAACUGACUCACAUAUAACAUCUUCGGUCCAGGAAUAUACCUUAAAUUCCAGUCAGUUCCUAAAGAGGUUUUGAGAUUAAUAUCUCCCAUGCCCACAAUAUCCAAAGUCUCAUCAUCAGCAAGACAAACUUUACCAAAAUUUUCAGCUCUGAAAUUUAACAUAAAAUCCUUGCAAGGGGUAGCAUGGAAUGACGCACCGGAAUCCAUAACCCUGAUUCAACAGAACAUUCAACACAGCAAAUCAACGCAUCAUCAUUCACCACUUCUUCAACUAUAUUAGCCGAAUCAUCCUCUUUCUUCUUACCUUUAGGAGCUGCGGGAGCCGUACACUGAUCUGAAGUGACCCUUCUUUUGACAAUUCCAACAAACAAUAUUCUUGCGAUCUUUGGAUUGUCCUCUCUUCUGUGACUUUGACCAGUGACGCCCCUGAUUCUGCCCCCUUUCGGUCUUUCCGCCUCUACCCUCAGCACUCAACAAGGAACCUGACGACUCUCCUAAGUUUCUCCUACGAAUAUCUUCUCCAAGAAUCGAAUCUCGAACUCCAUCAAAAGUCAUCUUACCACUCCCUGAUGAAUUACAAAUUAUAGUGACAAAUCCUGACCACCUAUCCGGUAAAGUGGAUACCAACAAUAAGAAUUGUACUUCAUCAUCGAAUUUAAUAUCAACAGAUGUCAGUCUUGAUAGGAUAGAAUUAAAUUCGUUUACAUGAUCAGCAACACAAUCACCUUCAUUCAAUUUCGUGGCAAAUAAUAAGCGAAUCAGAUAUACCUUAUUUGAAGCAGACGGCUUCUCAUACAUGUUUGAUAAAGCCUUGAUCAAUCCAUAAGUUGUCGUUUCCUUGACAAUAUUGUAAGCAACGUUCUUCGCCAAAGCCAAUCUGACAACACCCAGAGCCUGCCUGUCCAAUAACAACCCAAAAUCUCUUCCAUUGAAUUUGUUGAUCUUUACUUCCCCAUCUUCUGCCAUCGCUCCCACUUGCCUGAAACCUCAGCUCUUGAUACCAGUUGUUGGGCCAGCUAAGCGAGCCUAACUCCACAAUAGUACGAUAUUGUCCGCUUUGGGCCUAGCCCGCACGGCUUUUUUUUUUUGCACCUCCCAAAAGGCCUCGUACUAUUGGAGUUGUUGUGGCUGCUUAUAUUCCAGCUUUAUGUCCCUCCCACAACCAAUGUGGGACAACUCCUAACACUUGCAACUCUAAUACACAAACUGAACACCCAAACACACACAAGUUGUUUACACAAAAAGAUAGUUUUAAUAAUCAAACAUGUAUACAAUCCCUUGCACCAAUUUUAACACUAGAAUGUUUAAAACAUAACAGCUUCAAGAAUUAAAACAAUAAAUAGCAAUAUAUCAAGAUCAAAAUCAGAAAAUAUGUUUUACAUGCACUAAUCUGACUAUCAAAAAUCCCUAACAUCAUAAUUUCAAACUUAUAUAUACAGAAAAAACAACCAUAUAUGGAGUAUGGACGGCCCUCCUUAAAAUAUUUGUACACAAAAAACAAUGGCAACAGAUAUAUAUGUACAAUAAUAGAUAGAUAUAUGAGCAUUAAAACUAUAAACCAUGUAAGCCAUCAAAGUAAAGAAUUGGUUUUGCAUAUGCAAGUGGAUAACCUAAUAUAAAUACUUCCCUUCAACUUUAUAAAAAAAAUUAUAGAAAAAUGGCCAAAUCGGCAAUCGCAUUGAAGAUGUAAAAAGAACAACAAAAUUAAAAUUUCAUAUAAUGAUUAAACGAACACCUCAAAUCAAUACAGAUCCAAGCAAAUACACUGUAAAAAACAUAAAAAUCGACUAGAUCUAACUAAAACAAAUACAAUCGGUAAAAAUUAACGAGAUACAACCGAAAACAAUGUAAAAUCUAUUUUAAAAAGGGGGCAUAGGAGACCAGUAAUGUACAUCUCAUAAAAUGAUUAAACAAAUACCUCAAAUCAAUACAGAUUUAAGCAAAAACGAUGUGAUAAACCUAAAAAUCAAGUAGAUCAUCCAACGAGACAUAUACAAUCGGUAAAAAAUUAAUGAGAGUAACCGAAAAUAAUGUGAGAGCUACUUAAAAAUGGGAGGACGGGAUACUAGUAAAUGCACGUCGACCACUCUUUGAUGGAAAAAUACUAUAUCUACCAACCGCACCACAGAGCCGCACACCCGCCUAUUUAUUUUAUAACAUGUUUUAAUAAGUUUUUUAUUCAUAACUAAAACACAUUUAAUCAUUCGUCUCAAAACAUAUCUCUCGGGCCUAUUUAUUUUCAAGUCUUUUAACGGGCCAAAUUAUCAAAAAUUAUUUAAUGCCCAAUAAAAAUACAUUAACCCAAAGAGGCCUAUUAAUAGCUAAUAAUCUUUUAGUUAAAAUAUGUAUAUUAUUCCAACAAAAAUGUAUCUUCAAAACAAAAUAACAUACUAUAACAUAUAUCUUAAAUCUUUGUAAGUUUAUCAUAUUAAGUGCUUCUUUCCUAAAGCAAGCUCAACAAUUUUAUCCACUAAAUUCGAGCACAAUUUCAAAUCAUAGCCAACUAACACAAUUAAUACUGCCUAAACUAAUCUCUCACAAGAUUGCACAUCAAGGUGGCACUUUUUACUUUUUUUAUGUAUCAGCACUGAAGGAAUCAAAACAUGGACUUGACAUUGCUAAUAAGUAAUAUUCUUUACACUGCAAUAAUGUUUCUCAAUUUCAAACAAAUAGUACAGCAAUAAUCAAUUUAUUUGUGGGUAUUAAUAUGAGUUAUAUUGCUUGCUAUGGUGAAGCGUUGUUAAGUUUCAAAUUAAAUUUCCAUCAUAUCUAAUCAUUUGCAUGUUAUUGGCAAUGAAAGUAAUGUCGUGCAGAACACUUAAGCAGUUGCAGAUGAGGAGUUGUUAAAGAUAUUUCAAGAGUAGGUAUGCAUAAUUAAUUAAAGAAGUGGUGUUGUAUAUUAGUUGUAUUGAUUAAUGAAGCAUAACAAGAAGACAAUGGGAUUUUUGUUAUGCACCAUAUGGAGAAUUGACUUAUAUGGUAACGUAAAUAGGUUUAGAUGUGGACUACCUAUUAAAAAUGUAAGUGAUGCGAGAGCGAGACAUGGGUUUACUUUAAUUUCAUGUGUUAGCAAUAGUAAGUGUGGCAAAACAAUUGAAACUGCAUUUUCUAACAAACAUGGCUAUCAACAUUUUCUAGUCGGUAAGCCGGGUAAGGUAUAUUGCUGCCAUAUCCUUACUUAGACAAGAAACAGUAAAAGACAACUAACUGCGGAUGGGGUAGCAACUUACAUCAUAAACGGAAACUGAAAAAUGAAGCAAUUGCAGAUGAUGAUCAGUAUAACGAUUGUGCAAGGAAACCCACAGCAAAGCUGCAUGUCCUUGAAAUUGAGAUGAUAUGGUCUUUAAUUUAAUAGAAGUUGUUUAAAUUACUGAGAUUCUGUUGAGAGUUUCUGAAUAUAUGAAAUAUUAGACAUAUUGCAAACUUUAGAGCAGGUACGGGUUUAGUUUUGAGUCUUUAACUAUUAUAUUGGUUAUGAUAUUUACUCCCUCCAUUUUUUCUACUAAGUUUUGGCACGCAACUUUAGAUGCUUUAACUGCAUAGUAAAAUUCAUUAUUUGCGAUUAAUUUUUUUGUGAAUUAAGAUUUUAAUCAUAUAUUUUAAUUCAGAAAAAUAAAAUUAAAAAAAUAAUAAUUUUAGCUAUCUGGUCAAAGUACCUAAAGAUGUAUGCCAAAAGUCAAAGCAUCAAAUUGAAAAAACAGGAGUACUUCAAGAUGAUUUUGAUAUAAUGCAAGGAUGCAGUUUCUUUUGUUUUGAUGUGUAUAAGUUAGUAAGUUUAUUAUGAUUGUUUUUUUUCUAUAAAAAUAUGAAAAACUAUGGUUGCAAUAACAAUGUUUGUGCUAAUGUGCACAAAGGUCAGGUGAUUAGAACAACAGGGGUACUGCUUGUGAUUAAAGUGAAGUGGCAUGACAAAGUAGUUGGUUAAGUCUUGAUUUGGAGUAUAGCUUUGUGUAUUGCCAUUAAGCUUAUCUGGAAUAGGUUGUCAGAAUAUGAGGAUGAUGAUGGAUACAGGGCAGUAGAACGUAGUGUAUUUGUUUUGACCAUAAUGAUAUGUGUGGGACUAGUUGUUGUAGAGAAUGUAAAGGACAAUGUCCCAGUGAAUGUAGCAAUACAGAAUCUUUGUAUACAACUUUAGCACAUGAUACAUCAGUAGAUUAGUCACAUGGCUAUGCUCAAAACUGGUACUUCAUUUUACAGUAUGAAAUCAGUUGACAUGGCAACUUAAAGCAUGCAACAUUUUUCAGAUAUUAGUGUACCACACACUAGAACAUAGAUUCAUCAAAACAUUAGUGCAAGUAGAUAUCCUAAACUUAAUACUUCCCUUCAACUUUAUUAAAAAAAAUAUAUAAAAAUGGCCAAAUCGCAUUGAAGAGUAAAAAGAACAACAAAUUUAAAUUUUUAUAUAAUAAUUAAACGAAAACCUCAAAUCAAUACAGCUCUGAGCAAAUACACUAUAAAAAACAUACAAAUCAACUAGAUCUAGCUAAAAGAAAUACAAUCGGUAAAAAUUAACAAGAUACAACCGAAAACAAUGUAAAAUUUAUUUUAAAAAGGGAGCAUAACAGACCAGUAAUGUAAAUCUCAUAAAAUGAUUAAAAUAAUACCUCAAAUCAAUACAGAUCUAAGCAAAUAAGCUGUGAUAAACAAAUAAGCAAUUUGAGAAUUUGAAAUUACAACUCAAAUCAUGUCAUUUGAAAUCCAUCGUUUCAAAUGAAAUGCAUGUUUCCAAACGGCCCCUAAGAUUAAUUAGAAAUGAGUGGCUUAGAUAUUAAAUAACUGAACGGCAAACUAGUAUAUAUUACAACAGUGGGACUGCUUGUGAUUAAAGUGAAGUUACAUGACAAAGUAGUUGGUUAAGUCUAGAUUUCGAGUAUAGCUUUGUGUAUUGCAAUUAAGCUUAUCAGAAUAGGUUGUCAGAAUAUGAUGAUGAUGGAUACUGGGCAGUAGAACGUAGUGUAUUUGUUUUGAGUAUAAUGAUAUUUGCGGGACUAGUUGUAGUAGAGAAAGUAAAGGACAAUGUCCCUGUGAAUGUAGCAAUACAGAAUCUUUGUAUACAACUCUAAGCACAUGGUACAGCACUAAAUUAGUCACAUGGCUAUGCUCAAAACUGGUACUUCAUUUUACAUAUGAAAUCAGUUGAUAUGGCAACUUAAAGCAUGCAACAUUUUUCAAAUAUUAGUGUACUACACACUAGAACAUAGAUUUAUCUAAAACAUUAGUUCCCAAUGGAAGGAUAGCCUAUUAAAGGACUAGAAUUUGAGCUGUCUAUAUUAAAAGAAACCACAGAGUUUGAAACAUGUCAUGAGCUAAUUAACACCAAAAACACAAAUCCACAGACGAAAGCGCUCAGGACUUCUGCAAAAUCUUAGCCACUAUAUAUUUGAUAUUAAAAACGUGGUACGGUACCAUACCUUCCCACGCAUCCCCUCCACGUCCACCUUCGACACAAAAAAACAAAGCCUAUUUGCUACUUUGUCCAUCACCAAAUUCACUGCAAAUACAGAUCAGCAAGCUUAAUAGCAAAGGCACUUAGAAUGUAUCCAAUCACAAACAUGGCCAUUGUAAAUAUUCCGAUUCAGACCUUUUAUGGGUUUCCCAAAAUUUAUAGAAGCAUUUCUCCUACCAUCAUGAGAAGUCCGAAAUGAAAGUCCUGUGAGGAAAAUAAAAAAAAAAACAUCAACACAUUCUUCAUUUGAGUUAAUUGGCAUUGCUUCAACUAUAAAAAGCGCUAGUAUGGGUGUAACUAUUCCAUUUUCUACCAAUAUAGGAAUAAUUUUUCUUUUUACCUCCUACUCAUUCUUUCACAAAAUUGAUCAUAAAAAUGGGGCACUCUAUCAUUGUUUUCACACUCUUCUAUUUCCAUCCACAGAAUUUUCAUUUAAUUCCCUUUCCAUUUUAUUCCUUCCAAUAAUAAAACGCAUUAUAGUUAUCAUCUAUAUACUAUUUAUGAUCACAAAUUCAAAGUAGAACUUAAUCCUAAGGAUAAAACAGAUAAUAUUCAUCUUUACAUUGCAGCGGUAUCUCUUAUGAACUCGGUACUAUCUGACCGAAAGUUUGCACACUAUCUCAUUUUUCACUCGUAUCAAUUUUCUUCGAUUGCAUUCACUUCCAAAUAAUUCAAAUUCACAUAUAGUCCAUAAUAUUCAGGCAUACAAAAUCUAAAACACUAUAAUAUUGGCUGCACUGUGAAAAUAAUUCCAUAUUAUGAUAUCAUCCAGCGAAAUCAAACAUACAACACACGCACAUUUAUAGAGAGAGAGGGGGGGAGGGAGGAAAAGAGAGAGGGGAGGAGAGGGAGAGGGAGAGGGAGAGAGAGUACAAACUAAUCUCGAAAGUCGAAAUGGAUGAUAAUUUGCAUCGAAAUCGAGUUGUUGAAAUAACGUUGCUACCGCCAUUUUUCCUGAUCGAGCUUGUAUCCUUAUAAUGUGGUGCUGGUGCACUUAUGCAGUUGUCCAAGUAAUAUCGAGUCAGGGUUGGGUUUUGAUAAAAAGUCCAGAUUUUUCCAUCUUCGAAUAUUUUCAUAAUGAACUAAUUUAAAAAAAAGUAAAUUUCGAACAAAUAUAUAUAUAAAUCAAUCAGCUUGAAGUUCUUAUUCUCACUAGCUUAUAACUCGUGCAACGCACGAGCGGUUAUAAUAUUUGUUAUUUUAUUGUAUAUAUUCUAAAUUUAACUAAUUUUAUUUUAAAAAUAAAAUUAUGAUAAAAUAAUAUAAUUAAGUAAAAAUUUUAUUUAACAGCGGAAUAAAUUCUUAAUAGUUAAGUCUGUCAAAUAGUAAAUUAAAAAUUAUGUCGAACAUAUAUAUUUUAAUGAGGAUGUUAAAAUAUAUUUUUUAUACGUUAUAAUUUAAGAAUACCUAUAAACCCAGAUAUAUAUCAACCAAUCAAAAUAUCGUUAUUAAUGAUUAAUAAUAUCGUAUAGAAUAUAUUAUAAGUUAAAAAGACGCGUAAAUCUAAAUAUCGACCCAUCAUACUGAUCUAAUUUACAAUAUUUUAGUCUAAUUGGAAAAUAAAAAAUAUACUAUAAUAUGUUAUAAAUUAAGGAGGUCUGGGUCGAAUACCAACCGGUUCGCCAAACUCGACAGACCGACCAACUGAACUUUUCAUAUUUCGACUUAAGUGAUAUAAUAAUAUAAGUAUAGUAUAGCUUUAUAAUAUUACUUUUAAAGUGAGACUAUUAGAGUAUUUAAAAUAAUGUCAAUGUAUUUUAAUUGAAAAAUAUCACCGGUUAUUUAUUAAUAAUUAUAUAUAAUGAUAUUAUAGUUUUAUGUAUGUGCCGCCCGUGUUAACUGUAGAAGAUCUGUCUUUUUAAGUUAGAAAAUCUAAAAAAGGAUAAUGUGUUUCAGUUAUAAAGAUAAUUACUAUGUUAUUCUAUGUUAUUUUAGAAGAUUGAGUUAUUUUAGUUAGAAAAUAUAAAGAAGAUAAUCUAUAUUAGUUAAAAAGAAUAAUUUGUUAUAUAGAUAGGCUGUAUUUCGGCCCAUGUAUCGACUAAUGUUUUACUUAUAAUAAUAUAGUAUAAAUAUAUAAUAAUAUUGUCUUUUUUAUACGUAUGUUUCAUGUGUUAUAUUUAGAAAAAUCCGUUUUUAGUUAGGAAUGUGAAAAUGAUAACGUGUUUUAGUUCGAAUGGGUAAUUUCAUCAUGUUGUCUAAUAUUAUUUUAGAAAAUUGAGUUUUUCUAGUUAGAAAAUAUAAAAAAGAUAAUAGUUUAGUUAAAAAGGAUGCUUGAUUAUAUAGAUAGACCCAUAACUCAGCCCAAGUACCGACCAACCAAAUUUUUAAUGUUUCAACUUUAAUCUUGUUCUCGUAUGAGUAGAAAUAUUCAGAUUUAUUCAUUUUCAAAUUAUUUUAAAAUCAAGAUUUUCUUUAAUAUAUGAAUAUUUUAAAUUUUGGAUCGAGUACACGUGUAUAUAUAAAAGAUCCAGAUUUGAAUUCUAAUUCUGACAACGAUUAAAAUGUACAAAGUUCACUUGAAAAUAUCAAAGGUGCAUUCCAGGCACCAAACGUUUGCAAUAUAUAGGCCAUGCUAGCUACAUAAUUAUUUGCAUGCUAAUAAUUAAUAGGUAAUUGUAUUUUAUUUUAUCUUAGCCUUUUUGUAAAUAUAAUCUUCCAUUUUCCACAUUUACUAAAAACGCUCAUGUACUCUCUUAAUUUUAAUGGAACAAACUCCUAGCACCAAGAAACUAAAUAAAUAUCUUAAAUUAAACAAACUAAUAGAAAAAAGAUUUCGGGUGUUGCUAAAUGCAAUAAAAAUUUACUUUGUGCAGUAACGAGUAAUUACAUCUAAACCCUUCUCACCAUUAAAUGGUUCACGAUCCGAUAAGUCUCUGUAUCGAAUGUUUCUUGCUAAAUCAGUAGGACCGGUGACUAUUACAAUCUUAAACUAACCUGAACACAAAUAUAAAGUUUACUGAGUUUCUUGGCAUUAUCUUACGAUCAAAUACAAAUAUUUUUACAAAACAAAUCAAAAUAUUCCUACACAAAACAAUUCAACAAAUUCCUAAGCAGAAGUAUGCAUAAUCAUAUAAUUUGAAUUAAAAUUAUAGUAUAUAAUAAAUUAAAUAAAACUUAAGUAAGGUAAUCGUUAAAACUAUAUUAUAAUUAUAAUAGAUAAUAAUAUAAUAACAUCGAAGUAAAUCUUAAAAUUUUCUAAAGUUGUAUUACAUAAUAUUAUAACUAUUCAUACCUAUUUAACACACAGGAAAAUAAAAUGAUAUUAUGUUUUUAAUAUUAUAAUUUGAAAACAAAAAUUAAUAUUAAAAAAAUAAAUAAAAAUAAAAUCAAUGAAAUUGACCGAUCAAAUUGUAAGUAGAAAAAAGAUUCAAUGUGUAGAAAUAAUUUAUAUAUUUAAAUUUUGUAUAUUAUAGAAUGAUAGAUCUUUGAAAGAGUAAUAUGUUGUUUUUAGUAGUUAUUUUAAAUAAUAAACUAAAAUAAUCAUGUCGUCCCAAUCAAUUGUAUACAUAUUUUUUUGGUAUAUUUUUUAAGAUUUUUUAAUAUAUAUUCUCUCUAUUUUGAAAUAUCGGUCGCUUCAUUUUUUGGCCCACACUUCUAAGUUUUUUGACCGCAUAGUAAAAAUUUUUAUUUUAAAAUUUUUAUUUAUUUUAAUAUAAUAAUGAUCAUAUAUUUUUAUUGAAAAAAAAUUUUAACGAUAGUGAUUUUAACAAUGGGGUCAAGAGACUUACAAGAGUGUGUCAAAAAAUCAAACGACUUAUAUUACAAAAAAGAGGGAGUAUAUUUUUGCAAUUUUUUUCAAAAUAAAAUUUUGAUAUUUAAACUUUUAUUUAAAAAUUUUAAAAUUUUUUAAUCUGAAUUAUAUGAAAUUGAACAUAAUUAAAUAUAUGUUAAUAUGUUAUACAGCCUACAGGCGUGAAUGAGGAAUAGUACGAUAGAGGAAUGAAUAUACUCCACAAGUCCACGGACAAAAACAAGACAGGGAUAUGUAUGUAAUUUGUGAUUACUGCACAAAGCAAAUUAUCACUGCAUUUAGCAAUCAUGAUAUAUUCUAAUCAACUCUUACUCCACCGAACUCAUAUCUGUUUAAUAAUUCAAAUUCGAGCGGCAAUAACUCUUCUAAGUAAUGCAGAUCAAAGGAGGUGGAGAUUCAAAAACAUCAAAAGUAAAGUUCAAAGCAACAGCAUAAAGAGCUACUAUCACACGUUUUCCGGUUCUCAAACAUUUCUAGCAAUAAAACAUAACCCUCUUCACAUUUUCUUUAAGAGCGGGCAAGGGCCUCACAGCUGCAUUAGCAUUUGCUGCCCUGGUGCUUCUUCCAACCCCCAUUCCUCCACGACCACCAGCAGCACCACUUGCCAUUGACUCACUAUCAGAUGUUUCAGGUUCCAUAUAGAAGCGAGCUCGAAAUGCUGCCAAGUGAGCAUAAUAUGCUGGAGGAACUGUAAAAAAAAACAUGACUCGUUAAAGCAAGUCGAGUAAAAUGACAACAAUCAGAUAAAAAUUCUGAAAUAGAACCAGUAAACAUCGCUACUCACCUAUUGAGACAGAUCUUGUGCACCUGGCAUAACUGCAAGACACACAAUGAAGCCAGUAAAAUGCAGUAACUUUAUAUAUUAAUUUUAAUAUGUUAUUCAUGAGCAAACAAUAAUAAAGGUGAACUUACGUGUAACAUAGAUUGUUAGUGAGGGACUGUAAUCCAUCUGCCGAGAACUUGUUCUCAUCCCAAAGAACAUGGUAAUGUGCUGGUCGGCUAGUUCCCUGUUGCAUAAAGGAAUAAUUAGAUCAGACAAUUGUCCUUGAGUCCCCCUCAUUUUGUCCAUAAACCACUUAAAAAUCAACAUGAAUCAUUUACUUGGAUGCCAGCAUGGCUGCAAAGGUAAAAGUCAAACUCCGUUGGGUGACAGAUCUUGGAAUCCACAACAGUCCCUGUUAUUUCACAAGCAGAGAAACACUCUUAAUACUGAUACAGUGUGUAUAACAAUAUAGAUCAAGAUGAAAGGAAAAACAAAGGAAUACCGGGCAAAAUAUUUCCACUCCUAUCAACUGAAUUACGGUCGCGAUGAUUGUUGGCAAACAACCUAGUGUGAUGGCGUUUCUGAACCACAACAAAUGUAACCGGAGGCUGAUAGUUUGGCUCUAAUGAAGCACAAGCCUGUUUUAUAAGUUCAAGCCAUGAAAAAUGCAACAGAUAUAUUAGGUUGGACAUCAUGAGUCGCACAUUUAAACAAAAAAAAAAAGUACAGAUAAUAGUACAAUUAUAUUAGAGGACCAAAAUUUUAGAGAAACAAAGAUACCACCUUGCGAAUUGCAUCAAGUUCAUACAGAAGAACUUGAUAGAACUGCCCCUCACUAACACCAUCCCUGCAGUUUGCUCAUCAUUAGGACACGACAAUUACAAGUACCAUACAAGCUCACUAUAACACUGAGUAAUUAAUAGAUACCUAUAGAAUAUAAUGCGCUGGGGUUUCUGUCCAGUUGAUCUGCGGAAUGAAAUAAGGAGUUCCCUAUAGCACAGAAACAAAACUGAUACUGUAAAGAGCUUGAUUUAAAAAUUACCAUAAACAGUACACAUAGGUCUAUUAUCAUUUAUUAUUCAGUCAGAUAAGAGGUUGGGAGAGGAACAUACUUGAUCAUGCCGCCUGAUACAGUUCCUCUGUUUGGAUCCUGCCAGCUCUUGUACAGAUCCUGAAUAAGCUCUUGUCUGUGGGCUUGAGCACAAACCAAUCCAGCAUACUUUGUUAUCUCUGGCCAAUCUUGUGAAGCAACCACCUGAAUUUUAUAUAACAAAUCUCAUAUCAACUUUAAGCAACAAUAGAUUAUAAGACAUUAAAAAUAAACACAUAAUCCUGUCAAAUACAGGCAAAUCAUAUUAACACGUGCAAACAUUAACUAAAGUACGUAUAAGCAGUUCUACAAAAUUUUAUAUCAUACUGCUGCAAUCGAGGGGCUGGAAUCUUCUCCAGGAUGAGGAUGGGUGACGUCAGCACCAAAAAUGAUUGUAGGGCGGUCACUGACAAGUGGAAUACGCCUCGAUAAAGCAUCAACAAGAACUGUAUUUCUUCCCCCGACUUUGACGUUAAUCUUUAAAGCCACAUUCGCUAGGUAUUGCUUGCUCAUCUUGAAGACAUGUUUUGUCAAGCAACACUGUGAAACUAUUCCAAGGUCGGUCUCACAAAUUCUCUUUAAAUCGCCUUCAUGAAUAGUCAAAAACAGCGAUCAGUGAGACAGAUACCAUUACACAGAAGUGUGAAUGCAAGCAAAACCACGGAUAGACAAUCACACACACAGUCAAUAUAAGCACUGGACCUUUACAAUCAUCAUAAUAAGAAUAUUGAAAAAAGUUUACGUACCAUAUAGUGAGCCAUUAUUAUCUGGAAGAAUGACAAUCAAUAGGUCAAGCUCCUUCUUCAGUUUCUGUACCUCUUGAAAACGUGAUUUUAACACUCUCUCCACCUGAUCAGUGUGUGCGCCGGUAACUGGAAGCACCGGAUUGGGAUUGAACCGCUACACAGGAAAAUAUAGUUCAGUUUUAGUUCAUAUACUUGCCAAUAUGUCGAUAACAUCAACACAAACAGAGGUCUUCCGAUAUAUACCAUUCCCGAUAUUGUGCACAUCUGUGCGAGUUCUGAACAAAACCCGCUAGCCAAAUUAUCUUGAACAUUUCGUGCAAAGUUCACACACAUCCAAUUAUUAACAAUUCCUCCAUCAACCAUUUUCUGAAGCAAACAUUAAUAAAUUAGAACAAAACGGUACACGGUGUGCAACUUUUAAUCAGUGUUUGUUGUACUGUUCCAUACAGGAACAAAUGCAAUGCCCUGACUUCAAAGGAACAGAUUCAAGCAAUAUUGUCAAUUACAUUUUUAUUCUUCAAUAAAAAAGGAUAAAAAUCACGAUCACAGAAUGCCAAUGUAAUUGCAGUCUGCGUCGCCUACACUACCAUAUCAGAAAUACAAAACUUGCCUUGUUCAUCAUAUUCCACUGGCCAACUUGGGGUAGACAUCGUGUCUCACGUCCAGUCUCAUGGUAUUUUAGCUGGCACAAUAAUGACUCAUUCACUAAACCAACCAAAACAAUUCGUCUUUCGGUAUAUGACUACAAAAAACUAAAUGAAGAUAUAUAUUAAGUGAAUACCCAUGGUGGAGAGAGAAUUCUGGCUUCUACAGAGGCUAGUUUGUCACUAAUUUUGAUACCAAACUCCUUCGCAUAGGGAUCAUCAGCGUAUGCAUUGUGCUGAACAGUCUGAAUAACAGGCACAGUAGAGAGAGUACAACAUGAGUGCUGACUUGUAUUAUUAAGUUUUUAAAAACAAAAGACCUGACUGAACCACAUACAUUAGUAGACCAAGUUAAAAUCAAGUCACAUGCAUAUACAAAAGAUAGAACAUUACAAGUCAACUCAGAAGCACAAAUCAAAUGAACAUCUAGCAAGCGACAAAGUACAAGACAGCUCCCAAACACCAAAACAAUACAUUACUGCAAAAUACAGAAGAACUUCUGCAUUAACUAACCCGUAGAAUGUCGGCCUCCCUGUCACUAGGACGUUGACAAGUAACUUUAAGCAAUGCAGUGAUUUGCCUCUCGUUUAAUCUUUUUGAGUACCUCUGCCCCUCCACAAUUUUGCAAACCUGGACCAAUAAUUACAUGAGUACACCUGUAGCUUGAAAAAAUUAGAAGUAGAGAGCUAAAAGCACAAACCUCCAUGGGCAGAUAAUUUGGCCUUCGCUGGUUACCGACUUCCAGGCAAGGUAAUUGAGUUUGCUUGAGGAUAACAUCAUAAGUCUCGCGGAAAUACUCAACCACAGCUUUCAUUGUACCUCUUUCAUCAACUGGAAACCUAAAAUGUAGGAAAAACAGUACCAUGUCAUCCAAGGCAAACAUAACACCAGUGACUAUUACCAAAGUUGGAGAAAAUGCAAGUAACUCAUACGUGAGCCCCCUGGUCGCCUGUGAUGUUAAACCAGAAAUACAAUACUUCCUGCGCAUUGUUCCACGGUGCAAAACCUCAACCUUCACUCCCUUCAAGGCCUUUCUGAUCUGGCAUGCAAAGGGAAGAAUUAAAAUUGAUACCAUCAGCACAAUGUGAACAGAAGAAAGCUGAACAUUAUACAGAGCAAACCACAAAAUAAAAUAAGACGCACUAACAGGAGAUACUUAAAGAGGAAUAUAUUUAGGCCUAAGGGGGAAACAUAAUUCAUAAAAAGACACAGAGGACAAGAUAUACUUGUUUAUACUGUAUAUCCAAUCCAAGCUGCAGUACAACACAAGAUAAUGCAUAAUUUACAUCACACCAUAUUCAGGAACAAUAUCCUUUUUGCUCAUAAAAUGGAAGCAUUAUUAUGCAUGAAUAUAUUAAACUUCAAAACACCAAUAGACACCACAACUCCCGAACUUUUGCUAUACAGCACCCAUACAUUGUGAAAUACUAAUGAUAAUACAUAAAAACACCAAUGACAACCUAUGUUAGGAUCUACCAGUAAUAGACUGUAUAUGUAAAUUUUGACUAAUAGUAAUCUAAAUAAUAAAGUGUUAUCUAGCAAGUAGUAGGCAGAAUAAUGAAAUUAGACCUUCACACGAUCAGCAUCUGACAGUGGCCUGGACGAAACGUCCCUAUUCAACAGCUGUGAGGCAAACUCGAUAACAGGAAGAGGCUCAAUAAAUGCAGUCGAGGACAUAUCUGUAGCAUGAAAGUCAUCUUUCAUUGUCAAUACAAAAGGACAUUAUGGAAAAAGAAUUCGCUGAUGAUCAUGUGAUUGAUGAUAACAUUAAAAAAACAGAACUAAAAUAAACGAAACAAAACACAUACCAAUAUUAAGAGACAAUCCCAUCUGCGUAGGGCGUAUACUUUGAUAAAAGCCUCUCCAGCUUUCCAAGCCUUCACCCAGUGGCUGCCUUUGUCGAAUAUCAGCUGAAUAAAAUGAGCGCCCCACAGGGGAAUACCUAUCACAUAAAAGCCGAAUAAUUAUUACAAAUUGCUGUACAUUGUAUCUAUACACAUACAUCAAUAAUUCUACAUAAAAACACAUGAGUAUUGAUGUGAAUAUUCAUAUAGCCUUUACCUGGCAGUAGGCAAUUCCCUCAGAACAAUGUCCAACACCUGCAAAGCUUCUUGGGGCGCGUCAGCCUGACUGCCCUUUAAAAACAUUUCCAGGUGGUGCAGGUCAGCUCGAGAAGCUAAUUUGAUUACAACUUGGAAGUCCCUUUCUCUUCUGCAUAUAAGACAGCCAGUAUUCAAUUGUUAAAUCAACACUUACUUGAAGAUUUACGAACCUAUGAUUAAUGCAAGGAGGCAAUCCAGAAUAUACCUGGCACCACCUGACCCGUCAUCUUCGUCGGUCAGAACUAUUUUGAACUCCUUGUUGACAAAAGGAAGAGGCCCUGCUGUAUACAAACUCUUUCUACCAUCAUACGCAGGGAGACGCUUCCCAAGAUGAGAUUCUCUAUACAGUUUGACAAGCUGUUCCAUCACAGCACGAUUGACACCACGUGAACCGACUUCAGGGGAGAUUGUUACCUAAAUAUGAAGACCGGAUCUAUUGGAUGAGAAGAUUGCACUACAGCAACGAUAUAUAAAAUUAUUUUUACACACACACACACAAAGCAAAUAAUGCAAAUGAACGUCAGUUCUUGGUGAAGAGUUCAUAUUCCGGACUGGAGGAAUUUAAGAAAAAUUUCUAGGUAACAAACGAUGCAAGCACCUACUUCAGAGGUUUCAUUUAAUAUUAAAGACAAUAAGAGUAAGACAUAUAAUAAGUAUAUAACAAAACAAGAGUACAUUCAAUCACACUCACAUCAUACUGAUGCAAAUCCUUAUCAGGCAACUCUGCAAAGAAAUGGUUGGCCUUUACAACGAUACGAGAACCAGUGCUACCCCUGCCUGGACGGAGUGGAAAUCUAAGAGCCUUGCUAGAAACAGGAUUAGGCUGAGUAUCCCCGAUAGAUGAGGAUUCAGACUUCAAAGAAAUAUGCUGAAGCUGCUGCGUCACUUGCGAAGAUGAUGCUUCAACUGCACUAACAGAAGAGCUACCUUCUGACUGUGUCACUUCAGCCGGUAUAAUGCGGGGCAUGGGAUGAGUCGAUACCCCUGCUUGAGGUGGAGCCUGGGAAGCUUGGUGCAGCUCGGGGACUGAUGGCCUAGCACCAGCAGAAGGUACAAAUCCUCCACGACCACCACCAGCUACGCCACCGCCACGGUGUUGGGGCAAUGGUCCACGUGGUUGCUGCUGUUGGGCACCCCUGCCUUGCUGCUGAUAAAGAGAUUCACCAGUAUACUGCUGAGAAGCCAUACCACCCCGCGGGCCACCGCGUCCACCUUCAUAUCCUCCACGUCCUUGGUAUCCUCCUCCCUGUUGUGGGGCAAAGCCUCUACCACCUGGACCCUGCUGCUGUGGGGCAAAGCCUCUACCUCCAAGAACCUGCUGCUGUUGGGGAAAGCCUCUACCUCCUGGUCCUUGCUGCUGUUGUGGAUAGACUUGAGGUGCACCUCGUCCUUGCUGCUGUGGAGGGUGUUGAGGUGCACCCUGUCCAGCAUUAGAAUCCUGAGGCUCCGAGCUCUCUCCCCCACCAGCCUGGUCAGUUCUCCUCUUUCUUACCAUGAUGGUCACUACAUCCAGUGAAUACAAAGAGCAACAUUGAUUAUUUGAACUUACAAACGUUAUGUUAUGUAACAAUACUCAAAGACCCAACUGCUAUUGACAGGCAACGACAAGCAAAACCUGAGAAACCAACCACAUAGAAUUUGGCAGAAUGUACAUUUAAGACAGUAAUCUAAAUAAAUCCUUAACAUCAUAAUUUCAAACUUAUAAAAACAGAAAGAACAGCCAUAUACGGGGGUACGGACAGUUAUUAAGACCCUCCUUAAAAUAUUAGUACACAAAAAACAACGGCAACAGAUACAUUUGUACAAUAAUAGAUAGAUAUAUGGGCAUUAAAACAAUAAACCAUGUAAGCCAUCAAAGUAAGGAAUUGGUUGUGCAUAUGCAAGUAAAUAACCUAACCUAAAUACUUCCCUUCAACUUUAUAAAAAAAAUAUAGAAAAAUGGUCAAAUCGCAUUGAAGAUGUAAAAAGAACAACAAAAUUAAAAUUUCAUAAUAUGAUUAAACAAACACCUCAAAUCAAUACAGAUCUAAGCAAAUAAACUGUAAAAAACAUACAAAUCAACUAGAUCUAACUAAAAGAAAUACAAUCGGUAAAAAUUAACGAGAUACAACCGAAAAACAAUGUAUAGUCUAUUUAAAAAAGGGGGCACAGGAGACCAGUAAUGGACAUCUCAUAAAAUGAUUACACCAAUACCUCAAAUCAAUACAGAUCUAAGCUAAUACGCUGUGAUAAACCUAAAAAUCAACUAGAUCAUCCAACUACGCAUAUACAAUUGGUAAAAAUUAAUGAGAGUAACCAAAAACAAUGUAAAAGCUAGUUAAAAAAGGGAGGAUGGGAUACCAGUAAAUGCACGUCAACCACUCUUUGAUGGAAAAAUACUAUAUCUACCAACCGCACUACAGAGCCGCACACCCGCUACCUACAAUCCUAUAUCUAUAUUAUACUAUUAAAGCCGGAACAAUUAAAGUUUUGAUUGGUUGGUUGGUCGGUCAGUAUUUGGGCCGGUUAUGGGCCUCUUUAUUUUAUAAAAUGUUUUAAUGAGUUUUUUUUAUUAUAACUAAAACACAUUUAAACAUUCGCUUAAAACAUAUCUCUCGGGCCUGUUUAUUUUUAAGUCUUUUAACGGGCCUAAGUAUCAAAAUUUAUUUAACAUGACCAAUAAAAAUACAUUAACCCAAAGAGGCCUAUUAAAAUUUAAUAAUCUUUUAGUUAAAAUAUGUAUAUUAUUACAACAUAAAUGUCUCUUCGAAAUAAAACAAAAUAUUAUAACAUACCCGUGCAUCGUACGGGCUAUAAGCUAAUAUAUAUGUGAAGUGUAUUACCAAACAACAGGUCUACUACUUUGUUUUAUUUAUCAGAUUAGAGGGUCGGAAAUGAACAUACUUGAUUAUGCCACCUCUCAUAGUCCCUCUUUUUGGAUCCUCCCAGCUCUUGUAAAGAUCCUGGAUAAGCUCUUGUCCAUGUGCUUGGGUACAAACCAAACCAGCAUACUUUGUUAGAUCUGGCCAAUCCUGGGAGGCAACAACCUGGAUUUCAUACAACAGAACUUGUAUCAAGAUUAUGAAACAAUAAUAGAUAAUAACAUUUUAAUAUUUAAAUAGAGGCGACAACACAUAUUGUCACGUGAAAACAUUGAACGAAGUGUGUAUAAGUAGCUCUUAAAAACUUCAUAUCAUACUGCUGCAAUUGAGUAGAUAGAACCUUCUCCAGGAUGAGGAUGGAUGACAUCAGCACCAAAGAUAAUCGUAGGACGUUCGCGAAAAAGAGAAUGUGGAUGUAGACCCUGCACCUGAGGGUGUGGAGGAUGCUGAAGAACAUUUUGUCUGGCACCAGAAUCCUGGUGCUCUGAGUUCUCUCCCUCACCCGGAAGUUCAGUUAACCUCCUUUCUGCCCUGAUGAUAACUGUGUCCAGUGAAUACAUAUGGCAAAAUUAAAUUAUAGGGAUUACAAAAUGAUAAUGACAACAGUAAGACAAAGCACUAUUAGAUACAGCCAUACAGGUGAUAGCCGGCAAUAAUAUGAGAAAACACACGUAACUUGACAGAGCUUCCAAUAAAGUCAGCAAGCUAAUUAAAUACACAAAAACUAAAUAUUCUCCCUGCACGAGUAAUCAACUCUCAUUCAUAUGUAAGACAAGCAUAAGGAGCUUGCAACUCUAAUACGUAAACUGAACACCCAAACACACACAAGUUGUAUACACAAAAAGAUAGUUUUAAUAAUCAAACAUGUAUACAAUCCCUUGCACCAAUUUUAACACUAGAAUGUUUAAAACUUAACAGCUUCAAGAAUUAAAACAAUAAAUAGCAAUAAAUCAAGAUCAAAAUCAGAAAAUAUGUUUUACAUGCACUAACUUGACUAUCAAAAAUCCCUAACAUCAUAAUUUCAAACUUAUAUAUACAGAAAGAACAGCCAUAUAUGGAGUAUGGACAUUUAUUAAGACCCUCCUUAAAAUAUUAGUACACAAAAAACAAUGGCAAAAGAUACAUAUGUACAAUAAUAGAUAGAUAUAUGAGUAUUAAUGUGAGCCAUCAAAGUAAAGAAUUGGUUGUGCAAGUAGAUAUCCUAAACUUAAUACUUCCCUUCAACUUUAUAAAAAAAAAUAUGAAAAAAAUGGCCAAAUCGCAUUGAAGAGUAAAAAGAACAACAAAUUUAAAUUUUUAUAUAAUAAUUAAACGAAAACCUCAAAUCAAUACAGCUCUGAGCAAAUACACUAUAAAAAACAUACAAAUCAACUAGAUCUAGCUAAAAGAAAUACAAUCGGUAAAAAUUAACAAGAUACAACCGAAAACAAUGUAAAAUUUAUUUUAAAAAGGGAGCAUAACAGACCAGUAAUGUAAAUCUCAUAAAAUGAUUAAACUAAUACCUCAAAUCAAUACAGAUCUAAGCAAAUAAGCUGUGAUAAACCAAAAAAUCAACUAGCUCAUCCAACUAGACAUAUACAAUGGGUAAAAAUUAAUGAGAGUAACCGAAAACAACGUAAAAGCUGGUUAAAAAUUGGAGGAUGGGAAACCAGUAAAUGCACGUCGACCACUCGUUGAUGGAAAAAUACUAUAUCUACCAACCGCACUACAGAGCCGUACACCCGCCUAGUUAUUUUAUAACAUGUUUUAAUGUGUUUUUUAAUCAUAACUAAAACACAUUUAAACAUUCGUCUUAAAACAUAUCUCUCGGGCCUAUUUAUUUUUAAGUCUUUGAACGGGCCUAAUUAUCAAAAAUUAUUUAACAUGCCCAAUAAAAAUUCAUUAACCCGAAGAGGCCUAUUAUAAUUUAAUAAUCUUUUAGUUAAAAUAUGUAUAUUAUUCCAUAUAAAUGUAUCUUCAAAACAAAAUAAAAUAUUAUAACAUAUAUAACAAAAGAGAAAAUAAUUCAAGUCACCCGUGCAUCGUACGGGCUAUAAGCUAAUAUCUACGUGAAGUUGUAUUAUAUGUAGUACUAAUUAAAUUGUAGAGCCUCUAGAAUUAUCAACCACCAAAAUGGCUUGUUUGGGAACCUGGAUUUCAUUUGAUAUUUUGGAUUUGAUCAAAUAACCUGUUUGAGAAUUUGAAUUUGGAUUUCAUUUCACAUUCAAAUAUUAGUAUAAAUUUGAGAAAUUGAAAUUACAACUCAAAUCAUGUCAUUUGAAAUCCAUCGUUUCAAAUGAAAUGCAUGUUUCCAAACGGCCCCUAAGAUUAAUUAGAAAUGAGUGGCUUAGAUAUUAAAUAACUGAACGGCAAACUAGUAUAUAUUACUACAGUGGGACUGCUUGUGAUUAAAGUGAUGUUACAUGACAAAGUAGUUGGUUAAGUCUUGAUUUCGAGUAUAGCUUUGUGUAUUGCAAUUAAGCUUAUCAGAAUAGGUUGUCAGAAUAUGAUGAUGAUGGAUACUAGGCAGUAGAACGUAGUGUAUUUGUUUUGAGUAUAAUGAUAUUUGUGGGACUAGUUGUAGUAGAGAAUGUAAAGGACAAUGUCCCUAUGAAUGUAGCAAUACAGAAUCUUUGUAUACAACUCUAAGCACAUGGUACAGCACUAAAUUAGUCACAUGGCUAUGCUCAAAACUGGUACUUCAUUUUACAUAUGAAAUCAGUUGAUAUGGCAACUUAAAGCAUGCAACAGUUUUCAAAUAUUAGUGUACUACACACUAGAACAUAGAUUUAUCUAAAACAUUAGUGCCCAAUGGAAGGAUAGCCUACUAAAAGACUAGAAUUUGAACUGUCUAUAUUAAAAGAAACCACAGAGUUUG
rnacentral:lncRNA from 1 species